rnacentral:rRNA from 1 species
UACGAAGGGGGCUAGCGUUGCUCGGAAUCACUGGGCGUAAAGCGCACGUAGGCGGGUCUUUAAGUCAGGGGUGAAAUCCCGGAGCUCAACUCCGGAACUGCCUUUGAUACUGGAGAUCUUGAGUCCGGGAGAGGUGAGUGGAACUCCGAGUGUAGAGAUGAAAUUCGUAGAUAUUCGGAAGAACACCAGUGGCGAAGGCGGCUCACUGGCCCGGUACUGACGCUGAGGUGCGAAAGCGUGGGGAGCAAACAGG